rnacentral:rRNA from 1 species
UACGGGAGGCAGCAGUGGGGAAUAUUGCACAAUGGGCGCAAGCCUGAUGCAGCCAUGCCGCGUGUAUGAAGAAGGCCUUCGGGUUGUAAAGUACUUUCAGUCGUGAGGAAGGUGUUAAGGUUAAUAACCUUAGCAAUUGACGUUAGCGACAGAAGAAGCACCGGCUAACUCCGUGCCAGCAGCCGCGGUAAUACGGAGGGUGCGAGCGUUAAUCGGAAUUACUGGGCGUAAAGGGCACGCAGGCGGUUAAUUAAGUUGGAUGUGAAAUCCCCGGGCUUAACCUGGGAAUGGCAUUCAAGACUGGUUAGCUAGAGUCUUGUAGAGGGGGUAGAAUUCCAUGUGUAGCGGUGAAAUGCGUAGAGAUGUGGAGGAAUACCGGUGGCGAAGGCGGCCCCUGGACAAAGACUGACGCUCAUGUGCGAAAGCGGGGGAGCAAACGAGGGAUUAGAUACCCGU